AACAGCCAGAAAUGACUGCUAAUACCGCAUAAGCGCACAGAACCGCAUGGUUCGGUGUGAAAAACUCCGGUGGUAUGAGAUGGACCCGCGUCUGAUUAGCUAGUUGGUGAGGUAAUGGCCCACCAAGGCGACGAUCCAUAGCCGGCCUGAGAGGGUGAACGGCCACAUUGGGACUGAGACACGGCCCAGACUCCUACGGGAGGCAGCAGUGGGGAAUAUUGCACAAUGGGGGAAACCCUGAUGCAGCGACGCCGCGUGGAGGAAGAAGGUCUUCGGAUUGUAAACUCCUGUUGUUGAGGAAGACAAUGACGGUACUCAACAAGGAAGUGACGGCUAACUACGUGCCAGCAGCCGCGGUAAAACGUAGGUCACAAGCGUUGUCCGGAAUUACUGGGUGUAAAGGGAGCGCAGGCGGGAAGACAAGUUGGAAGUGAAAUCUAUGGGCUCAACCCAUAAACUGCUUUCAAAACUGUUUUUCUUGAGUAGUGCAGAGGUAGGCGGAAUUCCCGGUGUAGCGGUGGAAUGCGUAGAUAUCGGGAGGACACCAGUGGCGAAGCGGCUAUGGGCACCAACUGA
rnacentral:rRNA from 1 species